GGGAAACCGGAGCUAAUACCGGAUAANAUUUUGAACCGCAUGGUUCAAAAGUGAAAGACGGUCUUGCUGUCACUUAUAGAUGGAUCCGCGCUGCAUUAGCUAGUUGGUAAGGUAACGGCUUACCAAGGCAACGAUGCAUAGCCGACCUGAGAGGGUGAUCGGCCACACUGGAACUGAGACACGGUCCAGACUCCUACGGGAGGGCAGCAGAC
rnacentral:rRNA from 1 species